rnacentral:rRNA from 1 species
CUAGCGACUUCAGAGUUUGAUCCUGGCUCAGGACGAACGCUGGCGGCGUGCCUAACACAUGCAAGUCGAACGGGGUUGACCUUCGGGUUAACUUAGUGGCGAACGGGUGAGUAACGCGUGAGAAACCUGCCUCUCAGUGGGGGACAACAGUUGGAAACGACUGCUAAUACCGCAUAACACUUCUGUACCGCAUGGUACAGAAGUCAAAGCUUUAUGUGCUGAGAGAUGGUCUCGCGUCUGAUUAGCUAGUUGGCGGGGUAACGGCCCACCAAGGCGACGAUCAGUAGCCGGUCUGAGAGGAUGAACGGCCACAUUGGGACUGAGAUACGGCCCAG